CACAAGGAUGAGGCAGCAGUGAUAGUCAUUAGUGUUUGGUGGGGAUGCUGAAGAGUUGUGUCUUCUCUGCUCCCAGCAACAACUUUUUGUUCCUGGAGUCUUCUCUGCUCUGGCUUAGCCAUUGUUCUCUCAAUGGGACUCCUGCUGUCACUAUCCUGCCACUAGCUGCCCUGCUUGGACUUUUCUUUACUCACAGCUGGGGAAGGAAGAGGAAGAACGCUUUGUUGCCAUGGUUACCAGCAAAUCCCGCCGCCACAAGCUCCUCAGCUGUCAUGUAAUUAACUGUACAGUGUCUUUUAUUGUCUUUGCUCACAGCUCCUUGUGCCUGGCUCCAACUGCCGCCAGAAUAAAGCUGUUUCUUCCUGCUUCCCAACAGCAGCCGCCAUAGGCCUCUCUGUCAGUCUCACCUGCAGGACUGAGGUGUUUUGGCCAAACAAGAGGCUGUUUAUGUGAGGAGACAAUGGAGGGUUUAGCAGAGGACAAUGGCUGAAUCUGAGGAGACAGAUGAUGGAAGACGUUACCAAAGAAGAAAGUAUAUCAGACUGGAUACAUGUAUGGAACCUGCUUUCCAGUAUGCUCGGGACAUGGUUUUUACCAGUUAAUGGAUCUUUCUGUAAUUUGGAUCUUCAUACCUUAAAAGUGGUCAUACACAGGGAAAACCGCUCGUUUGGCAACAUCGUGAAUCUCUCCACGAUAUGCCCACAUUGAGGUUGGCGAUAUCUGGCUGAUCCAUUCGUGGGCGCUUGGGACUGCAUCAACGAACAGACAAGACUGCGAUCCAAUGGGAUUUUUUUUACCCUGUCCGAUAUGCCAGACUUUUGGCCUGAAAUCGAUCGGGAAAGGCCUUUGGAGGGCCCUAAACGCUCGAUCUUUCUUUAGCUUUUAUCGGCCAGUGUAUGGGGGCCUAUAGUCUACUAGCAAAUCGAGUAAACAUUAAGUAACCCCAACAGGCUGGUUUUACUUCCAAUAAGGAUUGAUUUUAUCUUAGUUGGGAUCAAGUAGAAGCUACUGUUUUAUUAUUACACAGAAAAAUUUAAUCAUUCUUAAAAAAGUUGGAUCGUUUGGAUAAAAUGGAGACUAUGGGAGAAAACCUUUCCGUAAUUCAGAGCUUUCUGAAGAAUGGGUUUCCGGAUAACCUGUAUAGGUAUUGGUAUAUACAGCUUAUAUAUGUGAGUGUGUAUAUGUGCACUGGGCUUCCCAAUGGCAUGUUCAUGAUCUUUUUUGGUCAAAUGCAUCCAUCUUGUUGUUGGCCACCUCCUGCUGCAUUGCUUUUUAUCAUAAUUGUCCCAAUUAAUUGGGUAAUGAAUCUGUAAUUUCAAACCAAUGCACCGCGUGUAAACAAAUGGUCUCACGGGCAUCCAGGCUGAUGGCACCUACACACACACAGCGGAGCUGAAGCCUCUGGGCUGGCCUCAAACCUUAUGUGCUGUAGUUGCCCUCACCCAUGCACAGCUAUGAGACGUUGCUUGUGAUUUUCUAAGAUUUGCAGAUCAUAAAAAGCCAAAGUGCUACAUGACAUGGUUUUUCCUAUGUUUAUUUUCAUACAGAGACCCAGGCAUAAUGUUCUUGCCUACCCUAAAACCAGCCCUUAACAUGUAAUUCGACCCUUGAUAAAUCUGCCCUAUAAAGUUGUUAUGGAUGUAUAUGAAGUAUGAAUUAAUAUUUUUGCACAUGUUGAAUGGCAAAGAUUGAGUUAACGAGAACCGCAUCAUUUGUGUAAGUUGGAUACAUUGAACUGAUUGGUGAUUUAGGGAAUAAAAGGUGUGUUUUAACUUUUAA